GAAGCGGCAACAGCUCAAAUUUGAAAUCUGACCCUUGAGGGUCCGAGUUGUAAUUUGCAGAGGGUGUUUCGGGUACGGUGUCGGUUUAAGUCCUUUGGAACAGGGUGUCAUAGAGGGUGAGAACCCCGUAUGUGACCGGUCGCCAAACCCAUGUGAAACCCCUUCGACGAGUCGAGUUGUUUGGGAAUGCAGCUCAAAAUGGGUGGUAAAUUUCAUCUAAAGCUAAAUAUUGGCCAGAGACCGAUAGCGCACAAGUAGAGUGAUCGAAAGAUGAAAAGCACUUUGGAAAGAGAGUCAAACAGCACGUGAAAUUGUUGAAAGGGAAGCGCUUGCGACCAGACCUGCUCGCGGGUGAUCAGCGGUGCUUUUCGCGCCGUGCACUCGUCCGCGAUCAGGCCAGCAUCGGUUCAGGCGGCCGGAUAAAGACUCGGAGAAUGUAGCUCCCUCCGGGGAGUGUUAUAGCUCCUUGUGCAAUACGGCCAGCCGGGACCGAGGACCGCGC
rnacentral:rRNA from 1 species